GGGAUUAGUGGCGAACGGGUGAGUAACACGUGAGUAACCUGCCCUUGACUCUGGGAUAACCUCCGGAAACGGAAGCUAAUACCGGAUACGACGUACGGAGGCAUCUCCUGUACGUGGAAAGAACUUCGGUCAAGGAUGGACUCGCGGCCUAUCAGGUAGUUGGUGAGGUAACGGCUCACCAAGCCUACGACGGGUAGCCGGCCUGAGAGGGUGACCGGCCACACUGGGACUGAGACACGGCCCAGACUCCUACGGGAGGCAGCAGUGGGGAAUAUUGCACAAUGGGCGCAAGCCUGAUGCAGCAACGCCGCGUGAGGGAUGACGGCCUUCGGGUUGUAAACCUCUUUUAGUAGGGAAGAAGCGAAAGUGACGGUACCUGCAGAAAAAGCACCGGCUAACUACGUGCCAGCAGCCGCGGUAAUACGUAGGGUGCGAGCGUUGUCCGGAAUUAUUGGGCGUAAAGAGCUCGUAGGCGGUCUGUCGCGUCUGCUGUGAAAACCCGAGGCUCAACCUCGGGCCUGCAGUGGGUACGGGCAGACUAGAGUGCGGUAGGGGAGAAUGGAAUUCCUGGUGUAGCGGUGGAAUGCGCAGAUAUCAGGAGGAACACCGAUGGCGAAGGCAGUUCUCUGGGCCGUAACUGACGCUGAGGAGCGAAAGCGUGGGGAGCGAACAGGAUUAGAUACCCUGGUAGUCCACGCCGUAAACGUUGGGCGCUAGAUGUGGGGACCAUUCCACGGUUUCCGUGUCGCA
rnacentral:rRNA from 1 species